rnacentral:rRNA from 1 species
AAUCAUGGCUCAGGACGAACGCUGGCGGCGUGCCUAACACAUGCAAGUCGAACGGAGAAUUUUAUUUCGGUAGAAUUCUUAGUGGCGAACGGGUGAGUAACGCGUAGGCAACCUACCCUUUAGACGGGGACAACAUUCCGAAAGGAGUGCUAAUACCGGAUGUGAUCAUCGUGCCGCAUGGCAGGAUGAAGAAAGAUGGCCUCUACAAGUAAGCUAUCGCUAAAGGAUCCGGGCUGCGUCUGAUUAG